AGAUUGAACGCUGGCGGCAUGCUUUACACAUGCAAGUCGAACGGCAGCGCGGGGCAACCUGGCGGCGAGUGGCGAACGGGUGAGUAAUAUAUCGGAACGUACCCAAGAGUGGGGGAUAACGUAGCGAAAGUUACGCUAAUACCGCAUACGAUCUAUGGAUGAAAGUGGGGGAUCGCAAGACCUCAUGCUCCUGGAGCGGCCGAUAUCUGAUUAGCUAGUUGGUGAGGUAAAGCUACACCAAGGCGACGAUCAGUAGCUGUCUGAGAGGACCACCGAGCCACACUGGAACUGAGACACGUCCAGACUCCUACGGGAGCAGCGAGGUGGGGUAAUUUUU
rnacentral:rRNA from 1 species